rnacentral:rRNA from 1 species
CCUACGGGAGGCAGCAGUGAGGAAUAUUGGUCAAUGGGCGCGAGCCUGAACCAGCCAAGUAGCGUGAAGGAUGACUGCCCUACGGGUUGUAAACUUCUUUUAUAAAGGAAUAAAGUUAGGUACGUGUGCUCUUCUGUAUGUACUUUAUGAAUAAGGAUCGGCUAACUCCGUGCCAGCAGCCGCGGUAAUACGGAGGAUCCGAGCGUUAUCCGGAUUUAUUGGGUUUAAAGGGUGCGUAGAUGGGUUGAUAAGUUAGUUGUGAAAGUUUGGAGCUCAACCGGAGAAUUGCAAUUGAUACUGUCAGUCUUGAGAGCAGUUGAGGUAGGCGGAAUGCAUGGUGUAGCGGUGACAUGCUUAGAGAUCACAAAGAACUCCGAUUGCGAAGGCAGCUUACUAAACUGCCACUGACAUUGAUGCUCGAAAGUGUGGGUAUCAAACAGGAUUAGAUACCCGAGUAGUC